CUGUAUCUCGGUCAGCUCGACGCCGUCCAGGCACAGCCAGAGAUAUCCUGUAUAAAACGAGAGAGAUGGAACUGGGGAUCGCUUUAAUGUGAAGAGUACCAAGACAGAUGUUGACCUCGGUCGUCUCUUAUAUAAGGGAGAAAAGAGACAUGAGAUCUGGCGAGAAUUCCUGGCACGGAUUUGGCAUUCGCAACAUGAGAUGGGACGAUUACUUUAAUAUCAGUCUUUCUUUUUUGAAAUAUGAAGAGAAAUAUGAAGAGCUUUUUCAUCCGGAACGAGGAAUAAUUAAAGAUUACGUAUCACAUUCAAGCAUAUAUUAUACUCUGUGCCCCAGAAAAUUUGCUAACUGAUAGGCUGAACGGCUGAAAGUGAAAUAAGCAUAAGAUUAGAUAGAUAGAUUAGAUGUUGCUUCAAUGUUCUAAAAAUAUUCGCGGACCUGAAAAGAGCUGAUUAAAUAUUUUGAAACAUAUGCUCGAAAAGCAGAUCUUCCAUUUGCAUAUAUUUGUUAAUUGUGUUAAUGUUUGUUCUACGAAUAAGACUUAUCUAUACGAGUUGGCUACUGCUAUUCACGUGUUAUCUAAUCUACUUUCCAUUGCUUCAGAAGCCAUUGCUUCAGAAAUGUUAAUUAGAAAAUUUUCUUUCAUUAAAUAAAUUACGUUCCAAAGAGCGAUACUUAAAUAUCA